AUUGAACGCUGGCGGCAGGCCUAACACAUGCAAGUCGAACGAGUGGCGGACGGGUGAGUAAUGUCUGGGAAACUGCCUGAUGGAGGGGGAUAACUACUGGAAACGGUAGCUAAUACCGCAUACCAUCGGAUGUGCCCCGAUGGGCUUAGAUAGUAGGUGGGGUAAAGGCUCACCUAGGCGGCGAUCCCUAGCUGGUCUGAGAGGAGUAGCAGCCAAACUGGAACGUAGACACGGUCCAGACUCCUACGGGAGGCAGCAGGGGGGAAUAUUGCACAAUGGGCGCAAGCCUGAUGCAGCCAUGCCGCGUGUAUGAAGAAGGCCUUCGGGUUGUAAAGUACUUUCAGCGGGGAGGCGUUACCCGCAGAAGAAGCACCGGCUAACUCCGUGCCAGCAGCCGCGGUAAUUC
rnacentral:rRNA from 1 species